UUUAAAAAGAUUAUUUUAUUUUUCUCUUCUCUAUACAUGUAAGAAUGAGAGCAUGUAUGUUUUUCUUUUCCUUGCCUUCUAGAUAUCUUUCUGAAGUCUCAAAGAUGUAGCCCUAAACUCUUCUCCAAGGCUUUUAAAGGAUUUGUUUCCUAAUAAUGACAUCUUUUCUUUAAAGUGAAUGUCAUAAACCCUUAAUUCCCUUCCAUACAUGGGAAUUCAUCACUGUAUUUCAAGAAUUCCCCAAAACCAAAAAUAUCAAUCUCACAAAUCAAUCUCCAUCUGACCUAUUCUCCACAGUCAAAUCCAAAUUCCUCCCUUAAAAGUUCUGCAUUCCUCUGAAGCUAAAUGAUACAAAAAAUGUCAAAAACACCCUUGCAUUUGAAUCACCCCAGUCUCUCUCUGCUCCUAUGGGCUGAUUCAGCAGACUGGCUUCUGGUGGAGGGCACUGGUUUCCCGGGCUAGUUUCUGGACUAUUUAAAACAGAUGGAGGCAUCUUCAAGGCGGCCCUGUCAAAGGCCAAGGACAUUUUUUUCGGCAUAGACUCUGAGCUUGUUGCCACAUAAACAAACAGAAGGAUUUCACUUUAGCUUCCCCAUGUUUUUGGAUUAAUGACAAAUGCUAAGAGGGGUACGGAAGCCAGUAAGGCAGGCCAGGGCAGCUAGAAGCCCAGAAAGAAGCUGGGAGUUGCUGGCUCUGGCUGCACACUCAGGGUGAGGCCGUGAGCAAGCCUCUACUGUGAACGAACGUCUGGAAAACCUCUCAGCUGGACAGUCCACCCGCAGACCCAGAGGCUGGAUAAGAAGCUAGAGGCAAAAGAAGAAUCAACCCUUCCUAUCCCUCCAAAAGAUGCAGUUGUGUCGUUCCUGAUGAGUACAGCUUUCUCGAAAAUGGAAAAUCUGGAAGUAACCAUGACUACACAUGUUUUAAAUGUAUUCAAGCGAUUUUGUAUUUUAAUUUUUCACAAUAAAUUUUAUUAAUUUUUCUUGUUUGAUUAAUCUUGAUUAGUUUGAUUUCUUGUUUGAUUAGUCCUAUCAAAUAUUAGUCUAUAUUUUAUUUAUGUUUUUAUCUUUUACUGCAAAAUGAGCUGUGUGGCAAAAUUGCUCUCAGCAAAUUGCUUGCAGCAAAGAUGUUUAGGAGAAAAUCCCAGACAAGGCCCUAAGAAAGACACAUUUGCUGCUGCCAUUCAGCCCAAGCCUUCCAGACUGCAAUGAUGAUACUUAUGACUAAAUGACAGAAACUUUUUAAUUCUUUGCACCAAAAGGCCAGCACCUCUUCUGCCACACUUUCUGAAGGAUGGAUUUUGAAUUCUGUUUCUUUACAUGGAUCAACUACAAAUCAAAGACAUCUAUGGAUGUAUCUGAUUGUUCUUCCUUAUGUUGUUUCAACACAGUUCAUAGUCUUAUUCCAUGUGUUAGAAUAUAUUGACUGUUUCCAUUUUAAUGUUCAAAAUUAUCCAAAUUUGGUCAGCAAAAAGCCCCUUCAGGCAGGUCUGUGUUAUUUUGACAUGGGCACCUUAGAUUUGGAGCAUUCCCUUAAUUUAUGGCACAACAAGAAAUUUCAAGAACACCUAAAGCUUUUAUUGCCCCACAGCUAUAAUCAGCAUUUCUCCAAGAUUUACUAGUUCCUUUUAGAGAAAAAUAAAAUGGUGUUUAGAUGGCAGGAUCUAGACACUAGCAUAUUCAUUUCUUUAUUAGUGCCUCUAGUCCCUUGAAGUUGACAAAGCUAUGAAAUAUUUAUAUCUAUAUCUAUAUAUCUUGAUACCUUUAAUUCAAUCCAACAUUAUAGAAUUUUUCUUUUCCUAUUCUCAUUCCAUUAUUUUCUGUUUCUUCCCCCUCACUCUUUUGAUGCUUCAGCAUAGGCAGAAUUACUUACUUUCUCCAAAGAGGCAUAUCACAGCUCAGGGUUGGGUGGAGGAAUUACACUUCUGAUACCAUCAUCCCUGGUUGGGUGAUCAUCUCAGGCUUGCGCCCUCAAAGCCAAUCUUGACCCCUUAAUCAGGGUCCUCCACCUAUACUCGUUCUUAAGCUUCUCUUGAUUUAGUCAUUACAUCCAAUGUUUCCUGAUUCUGAUCCUUAUUUCCUCUUGGCUGGACCAUGUUAAUAGAGUCCCAUCUUGUAUUCUUAUCCACAUUGCCUUCAAUCGUAUCCACAUUCUAAGAUACAACUGCCAUGCAUUCCAUAGGCAAGUUGAUUUCAAGUCAGAAAAUACUCACUUUUCCAAAAGACUCAUGUUCACACUAAGUUUAGCGUUAAAUGUUUUUCUAGUCUAUUCCCACCCAGCUCCUUUUAGUACAUUCUAUGUGUCAGCUAAAAUUAAUGUCUUGCUUCUUAAGCAUUCUUUCUAUUUUCCUUGAGUUUAUCUUCUGUCUAGAUUUGUGCCAUAUAAUUUUUAAAAGUAUAAUUUCCCAUUCUAUUAUGCUAUUGCUCAGAAACUUUCCUUGACUUCUUAUAGCCUGACAAAACCAUGUAUCUGUGGAAGUCAUAUUCACCCUUAAGUUUCACUUCAAAUGCAAUUCUCUCCCAUCCACACCUACAGUCUUUACUGAAACCCAACUUGUAACUCACUAUGAACUGUAUUGAAUGCCUUUAGCAUUUCUUUAGCAUCAAAUUCAUAUGGUUCAAUAUUAAACUCACUUAUUAUGUCAUUUAGAAUUAGGCUUGCCAAAAUAUAACAUUGGAUUAAAAUGUUGAAGUUUGUUUUUCUCUCAUUAACAAUUCAAUGGGCAGUGCAGGGCUAGGAAUAGCUGCUUAUACCCUCAGAGACAUCACAAAUUCAUGCUACUUCCUUGUAGAACUCUCAUUCUUUUGUUAUAAGAUGGCAGCUAUAGAUUCAGUCCUUAUACAUGAAUUCUAGGUAACAGGAUGGAGGAAUAUGCAACAAAAUGAGGGAAAAGUAAUGCAUUUGAGAUAUAUUUUUUAAAUAAAUUCUGCAGAGGUAUUAUAUUCACACAAGAAAAUAUGCACAUUCUAAAUUAGAUAAAUUUUAACAAACACUGAUCAAUAACACAAUCAAGAUUUCUGUCAACCAGAAAGUUCCCUGUUACUCUUUUGCACUCAAUCAACCCAGCCUUGGCUCAUAUUAACAGACUAAGAGAAAAAAAAGUAAGAUAAUCUCGAUUUACAUUAAAAACUAUUUGAUAAAAUUCAAUAUCCUUUUCAAUAAAAUUCUUAUCAAAUUAGGAAGAGAAGGGAACUUCCUUAUCCUGAUAAAGGGCAUCUGUGAAAAACCUAUAGCUAGCACUAUAUUUUAUAAGACUGUAUUCUUUCCCGUUACGGUCAGGAAAAAUGUAGGGAUGUUCACUAUCACCACUUUUAUUCAACAAUGCAAUAAAGAAAGAAAAAAUAAAUGAAAAGCAAACAUAGUGGAAAGUAAGAAAUGGCCUUUAUUUGCAGAAAACAUGAUCAUUUUAUAGAAAUCACUGGAAUUUAUUUUAAAAGCUUUUUGGAUGAAUAAUUGAGUUUAGAAGUUAAGAUAAAGGUCAAUAUACAGAAAUAAAUUGUAUUUCUACAAACUGUAUAUUGUUUUGUCAUUAUUUACUCAGAAAACUUUUAUGCUCCUUUCCUUCUACUCUUUUUUUGGGGGGGGAUUAUAUAUGUUAGAUGUUUGAUGUUGUCCCUCAGAUUACUGAGUCUCUUUAGUUUUUUCUUCUUUUUUUCUCUCAAUGCUUCAAUUUAGACAAUUUCUAUUGCUGUAUCUUAAGACCAAAAAAAAAAAAAAAAAAAAGAACCUCCAUAUGCCAUGGGAGUAGCCCAAGAAAAGGCAAAAACACCAAAAAGAAGGAAACUCUAUUGCUGUAUCUUCAUGUUCACUGAUCUUUUCCUCUGAGGCAUUAAUCUGCUAUUAAUUCUAUUAAGUGAAUUUUUAUUUCAGAUGCUCUAUUUUUCAUCUCUAGAAAUACUUUUUAUUAUUGACUUAUUUUUUUAUUAUGAUCAUGUCAUUCUUUAAGAAAUAUUGAUCAUAGGUAUAAUAGCUUAUUUAAAAUUAUUAUUUUUCAAUUUCAUCAUCUAUGUCAUUUCUGGUUCUAUUUUCUCCUAUUUUGGGAUAAAAAUUUGUUUGUAGAAAGUUUUUUUUACAAUAUUGAGUGUUUCAUAUAUUUUCUUCCUUUAAAGAGUGUUAAAGUAUUCUUGUUAGGCAAAGCUUGAAUUUUAAAGCUUGUUUUUAAGCUUUCUGGGAGUUGGUUUAGAGUGCUCUUUACUCUCAGACUAAUUUGGCCAUAUUACCAAACCAUGACCCUCUGGGUUCUCUUAUUGAGUUCCCUGAGGGUUAAAUGAGGUUUCUCUGCUCAAGCUGGAAAGAGUUUGAAUAUUUUUCUUGUUCAAGCUCAAGGAGUUUUUCAGCUUAUGGCUCCCAGUAAUUAUUUUCCCAGCAACUGCUUUUUUUUGGAGAUUCACUGUAUAGUUUAAUGGGACCUUUAUGCAUGUUUCUCUGCACAGAUGAUUCCUCUCCAAUAUUCUGUCCUACAGAUUCUGGUUGCCUCUCAGCCUCACCCAAAUCCAUUAUUUGUCUUUUAAGCUCAGUAAGCUUUCAUGUGCUCUGCUUGGGGUCUUCCCUCUGGGCCAUCUUUUACAAGGAGAAAACAGGCUAAUAGCAGGCUUUUCCUUUUCUCAUAAUCACAGUCUUAUUGUCUCAAUGUCUGAAAGAGUUGUUUAAUAUAUUUUAUUUUGUUUUGCAGUUGCUUAUGGUAAGUAGACUGGUCCUGUACCAGUCAGAGGCAUAAAGCAACUAAAAUGUAUUUUAAAGAAAGUUAUUUCUCUUCUUUUUACCACUCAGAACUCCUUACCUACAAAAGGGACUAGAAAAAUAGCUUUUUUUCCUGAGUGGUUAUAUGCUUAGCAAAAAAAUCAGAUUUUGAGAAAGAGAGAGUAUGGAGUUCCCAUGGUGGCUCAGUAGAA